rnacentral:lncRNA from 1 species
GCCCAGUUAUUGUGGCCCUGCAUAGACAAACGUUUAGCAAGUCCUUGUCAUGUGAACAGAGAGGGACCCAGCACAGACUGGCCUUUCAUGCAUCCGUCCAAGAGGAAAGGUCUAGGAUAGGGGAGGCCUUGGAGGGGUCAGGCCCCGCACCGUAUCACCCCAGCAGCAGGGUGGCCACGGGCCAGUGCCCCUGGACAGUCCAGGUUUAGGCCUGCCGUCCC